GCUGAAAGGAAAGGGAAUGACAUUGUUUCUGUCCUGCUCUACCCAACAUCAGAGGUGUAAGGAAUGGAUCUGGUAUAUCCUUGUUCACUGCAUAUACUAAGAACAAUCAGGUCACGGGACUGUCCAUUUCCCAAUCUCCCUCAGAAGUGGUGACGUGUAUGCCUGCCUUAAUUGCAGUUAGAAGUGGAGGGCGUUUCUUGAUGCACUGAAAGGAUUGCGCAACAGCUCAUCUGAACGAGGCAAGUAAACCCACAGCCGCCAUGAUGUGAGGAAGCCCAGGCUAUAUGGAGAUGUUUCAGUCGACAACUCCAGCUGAGGUCCCACCUGACAACCAGCAUCAACUGCCAAAUAUGCGAGUGAGCAAGGUGUCAAGAUGAGUCCAACCGCAGUCACUAUCUGACUGCAACGCCAUGAAAGACUCUAAGCAAGAAAUAGCUAGCGGAGCCCAGUCAACCUCCAGAAGAGCAAAAGAGAAUAAGGUGCUUCUUUCUUCGUCUUAAAAAAGGAGAACUCCAGUCUAAGCAUGAGACAAACAUCAGUCAAACCCAUAAUGGGAGACACUCUACAGGACUCCUGACUAGUACUUGUCAAGACUGUCAAGGUCAUAAGAAACAAGGAAAGGCUGAGAAAUGGUCACAGACCAGAAGAGACUGGAGAGACAUGACAACCAAAUGCAAGGUGGUACCUGGACCAAAUCCUGGAACAGAAAAAGGGCAUGACAAGGGACAGCAGUGGGAAAAGUGGUGAAAUUCGAAUCGAGCCUGGAGUUGAGGUAAUAGCACUGUACCAGUGUCAGUUUCCUAGCCUUGACAAAGGUGCCCUGCUAAUGUAAGAUGCUGACAACGGGUGACAAUGGGUGAGGGAUUUGUGGGAACUCUCUGUAUUACCCUUGCUACAGUCCCAUAAACCUGAA
rnacentral:lncRNA from 10 species